rnacentral:rRNA from 1 species
GACAGAGGGUGCAAACGUUGCUCGGAAUUACUGGGCGUAAAGCGCGUGUAGGCGGACCGAUAAGUCAGGCGUGAAAUCCCCGAGCUCAACUCGGGAACUGCACCUGAAACUGCCGGUCUAGAGUGAUGGAGAGGGUAGCGGAAUUCCUGGUGUAGAAGUGAAAUUCGUAGAUAUCAGGAGGAACACCGGUGGCGAAGGCGGCUCACUGGCCCGUAACUGACGCUGAGGCACGAAAGCGUGGGGAGCAAACAGG